GUUUGCGUGCUUGGCGUGCCUGGACAGUGUGAACAACAGUGUGGCGAUAGCUGUGUUCAGUAGUCUCUACGCUGCCACGGUAACCUGGUACCCUGGAUUCUGCUUCCUGUUGUCUGCUGGACUCUGUGUCAUCCCCUUGGUCCUGCUAGUGAUUGUGGGGCUGCUGGGGGUGGAUGAAAGUAAGGAGGCAGAGGUCCUCAUCCCAGAAGAGGAAGGCCUGGCCGGAGACGAUGACCCUCUCCUCACCUGAGGCUGGGUGACAGGUAGCGGUUGGGCCAGUAACCAAAAGGUCCUUGGUUCAAAUCAUCGAGCCGGCAAGGUGGAAAAAUCGAAUGUCGAAUGUGUCCUUGAGGUUGCUCUGAAAAAGAGAGUCCGCUAAAGUGAACUUUUGUUUGUUGGGCGUCGGAAUCACAGGUGUUGCUUUUGGUUUGAUUUCCCGUAGCCUCUUUUUCUCAGCGUCAAUUUCUCUGUGAAGUAAAGGCCGCGUUUUAAUUAAAUACAAUUCUUCUGAUCUUCUGAUCUCUCACGGUGGAAUACUUAGUCGCUGUUAUGACGUUGUUAUGACGAUGAUUCUAUUAUUCACGUUGUUAUGACGAUGAUUCUAUUAUUCACGUUGUUAUGACGAUGAUUCUAUUAUUCACGUUGUUAUGACGAUGAUUCUAUUAUUCACGUUGUUAUGACGAUGAUUCUAUUAUUCACGUUGUUAUGACGAUGAUUCUAUUAUUCACGUUGUUAUGACGAUGAUUCAAUUAUUCACGUUGUUAUGACGAUGAUUCAAUUAUUCACGUUGUUAUGACGAUGAUUCAAUUAUUCACGUUGUUAUGACGAUGAUUCAAUUAUUCACGUUGUUAUGACGAUGAUUCAAUUAUUCACGUUGUUAUGACGACGAUUCUAUUAUUCACGUUGUUGCAACAAAAAAAAUGGGAAAUAAGCAAAUUGAUUUUUCCAAAAUGUUUUAAUAAGUAGCUAGAAGUCUCUGAAGUGAAAUGAAUAUUGAUAUCAAACAGAGCGACCGUAAUAGCAGACCGCGGUAAUCUACCUAAUUCACAGGUUCUGACUGUAUAUCACACCAUGUUCUACUUACCUGUUUUUAUUACUGAUCUGUUUGUGUUGUCGUUACAUGACCCAAAGGCCCAAACUGUCAAACUCGUUUCGCUGUGCCUUACACCAACAUGAUAGACUUGUAUAGACGCUCAAGGAAAUGCACUUUCUGUCUGAACUAUGUCACGACUUGUUAGUUUCCCCAGUGAUCAAAACUGGUUGAAAAGAUGUCAUUUCAAUGACAACUGGUUGGAAUUACGUUGUUUGUUUUUUUAAACGAAGUGUUGCUCUUUGGGCUGACCCGUUUGGGCUGACCCGUUUGGGCUGACCCGUUUGGGCUGACCCCUAGACCAGUUUGGGCUCUUGCUGUCAUUGUCAUGAUGUCAGAAACAGAUCUAGGAUCAGGAUAAAAAACUUUGUUGAUUGAUAUUUCAACUACACUGUUACAGUAGGUUACCUCCACUUAAUGAUUGAUUAACAACAACGGUCAAUAACUCAGAACUGAUCAUGUAAAAACCAGCAUAGGCAAAUGGAUGUGAAGGACAGUAUUGGAAAAUACUACUUUAGGGAUGUUUUUUUUUUAAGUUGUAUUUUGAAACAAUUUGCAUGUGUGCUGUUAUUUUUACAAUAAUUUA